UGAAGAAAACCCAGCAUGUAUUGAGCACCAACUGCGUGUGGCACAUUCUGGAUGCUGGAGACACAGCAGCCAACAGAGACACUGUCCCUCAUGGUGGAGACAAGGAGACAGGUGGUCAGAGGCCUGUGCUAACCUGAGAGCUGGUGUAGACAGGACCAUGCGCUGAUGGAAUUAGCCAUGUGGGGGGUUCAGGAUUCAGUAGUGGGCCCCAUGCUAGAUGGGCUGAUCUGGGAAGGCUCUGGGAAGACCUAAUGCUCGAUUGUCACUUUAACAAGAUCCCUGUGGCUCUGUGAGGACAGUAGACAGCUAGAGGAUCAGUGGGCAGGGGAGGCUGUGGCCUGCAGUGGCAGGCGUGUGACAGAGAGGGAGCUAAUGGUCAGGAGGUGGAAGCCCCAGGUCUUAGUGCUGAGACCUAGGGAGGGUCGGGUUUGGGAGGGAGGCUAUCCAUUGGUUUGACACAGGCCGAGUUCGGGGUGUGGUGGGGACAUGACUGCCUCAGGCAAGCCCUCCCUGGUACCCACAGCCCAGCCCUCCCGGCUCUUUGACCUCUGUGGUUCUGGUCCCACCUGCAGAAGGGCUUUCCCAGGCUCUCUCUAUCCCUGGGAUGUGCUGUGUGGUGGGCACGGGAAGGCCUUGGACGUGGACUUCAGGGCUGGCUCUGCUGUCUCAGGACCAACAGUGGACCUGGCCACUCCCCAAGCCCUCCUCCUCAGCCUCAGUGUCCCUGUCUGUGGGAUGGGCCAGUUGGAAGCAUCCACCUGCAAGGUCUCCUCCAGCACUCUGUUCUGUGGGGAUGUCAGAUCUUCCGGGCAGGGGCCCUAUCCUGUGACAGGCAUGGCUGGCCCCCUCCCAGGCCAGCCUCUGUUGAGUGAGCGCACGCCCAGGACCGAGAGUGUGCUCAGGAAGGCCUCUCUCCCAGGCCUGUGUCCCCGUCCGCCUCCUCCUGACCUGGGCUCUCAGGUGCCUGUGUCAGGAAUAUCCAUGGAGGCCUGAAGGGCAUGGGAGGGAGGCAGUGAGGCCACCCCUGUCCCACAGGAGCUUGUCCUCUGACCAUGGGGAGACUGGGACACCCCCACUAAGCAGGGAGGGGAGCUUGACUACUCAGGUGUCCAGGGACAAAGAGCCAUGGGCCCUCUGAGGAGGGGACACCAGGCAGGAGGACUCUUGACAAAGACAGUGGUGGGAUGGAGAGGGGAGGGCACGCUAGGCAGGGAGAAUGGCUUGAGCAAAGGGGUGGAGGGGGAAUGAACUCAUGUCUCGGAGGGAGGAAGACGCUGUUGAUGGGGGCUCAGAGCCCAGACUUGAGCCAAUCGCUUUACCAGCUUUACCAGCACCCCGUCCUGGAGCAGGCCUUGCACAGCUCUGCCUGAGCCCUCCCCUCCAGGGACUCCAGCCACCCCUUGGCACUUCCGUGUCACCCCUGUGCACCUGCUACCUGCCAUCCGCUGGAUUCUAUUUUCUGGAAUCCCACGUCUGCCAAUGGAGCUACCAGGUACAGUCUUGGGCGGGGGGUGGAAGAGAGGAUCCCUUACCUCCACCCACUUCCCAGGUCACUGUGAACUAGUGGCACCAACAGGGCAAUGAGGAAGCCAGCCACCUCUUGUAGGGGAUUGAAUGGUGACCCCCCCAAAAGGUAUGCCCCCCCAGAACCUGUGAACAUGACCUUCUUUGGAAAAAGACUCUUUACAGAUGUAAUUGACAAGGAUCUCAAGGUGAGCGCAUCCUGAAGCACCCAGGUGGCCCUAAAUCCAGUGACAAGUGUCCUUAUAAGAGGAGGAGAGACACAGAUGCAGAUCAGAAGACAUAGAGAAGGCCCUGUGACACCAGAGGCAGAGCCUGGAGUGGGGCAGCCAUGUCACAUGUGACACCUGGGGCCAACAGAAGCUGCAGGAGGCAGGAAGGUCCUAGAAGCCCAGAGUCAACACGGCCCUGGCAAUGCCAUGAUUUCAGACCUCUGGCCCAGGAUGGGACCCAAGCCAUGGCUCACCCACCAUCCAGGAUCCUUGGUCACCCUGCCUAAUGGUGGUGUAGUGAGUGGCCAGGUCACCUCAGGAUGCUGGGGUGUCAGUGAUGAAGUAAGGCACUGUGGGGGUGGGGCACAUGUGGAUGGGAGUCAGGGUUCGAGCAGGUAGGUGGGGGAUGGGGGGCUGCCCUUGAACUGGGGCAGGAGGCAGAGGGGCUGGCCCUCCUGCCGGGGCCUGAGAUCAUCGUCCUUCCUGUGGGUGGAUUCACCCAGAACCUCCAUGCUUCUGGACGUCAUUCCACGUCCUCAGCUUCUCUCCGCCAGCCCCAUGAUGGGUACCCAGAUCCAGUGAAUCAGAGGGUCUCAGACACUAAAGUCACACAUCUGAGGACAGGCCUAGGAGCCCACGAGAGGGACACAGACCCCAAUUUAUGAGGUAGAGGGCCUGCAGAGGGAGUGGCUGCUGGAGACCUGACGUCAGCCGGCUGACACACCACCUGCCUUUCAACCCCAGGGAGCCCCAGUCCUCAGGAAGGAACAGCCCUCUGGGCUUGACCUCCUCCCCCAGAACUGAAAGGCUCCUGUGAUCCCCACUGCCUCAGUUUCCCCGGGUCUCCUCUUCCUCUGAACAGAUUAACUAAGAGAAUCUGGAACCUUCUCCCCCACCCCCACCCCAUCAUCUGGGGACUCCAAGAAUCCCAACGAAAGACCCUGGGCCGUGUGUCCAGGGUUAACUGUCCAGAGGUCCGGCCGUGUGAGGGAGGGGAGCGGACACGGCCCUCAUCGCCCCGUCAUCCCGAGUCUGCAGGAGUUCCUGAACAGCAGCUUAAUUCCAGUUUCUGUAAGGAGCACACGUCACAGACUGAAAACACCAGCAGCAGCCUCCUUCUAUUCACCAGCUCUUCUCUAGUGUCUGAGGGAUCAUGACACAUGUCACACACUCAGACCAGAAAGACAUCAGGUGAGAAGGAAAAGCCCCUCUGUGUUCUUGCGGCCCCGCCCAGACAGGAGCACAUCCACAGCUGCCUGAUGGACCUUUCAGGAAGCCCUCGAUGAGGUAUUAUUAUAACCCCAUGUGACAGGGGAAGAGACAGAGGCACACAGAGUUAAGUGACUUGAACUUGGUCACACAGAGUGGCGGAGCAGAGCUCACGGGUGGGUGGUGGAGCCUGUACAUGGACUACUCAGGUGGGGCUGGGGGGCAGGGGUGGGGGCACCCUCAGGAGAGACCAGGGAGGGGUGCCCCACAGCAGAGGCAUCUGGGGCUCUCCCUCUCUCAUGCCCUCCUCUUUGUCCUCCUCCCACCUCCCCUGGUGCAGGUGGGUGAGGAGGCUGGUGCCACUGGGAGAGCAGCUGCUGGCUGAGGGGAAUGCAUGGCAGGGACUCAGGCUGCAAUGGGCCAAGGCGUCCGGGUGAGGGGGUGAUGGCACUGCUGUUGCAGCCACCACUCUCAAAGCCUCCCUCCUCUGAGGAAGGUGGGAGAUACAGAGGACACACACGGGGGCCUGGGCUCAGGAGGAGCAGCAGGAGCAUGGGAGGAAGACCUGGAGUCCUGCUGAGCUGGCCUGGGUGGGCGAUGGAUGCCCAGGCGGGCAUGGUCCCUGGGUGGGUGUGAGACUGCACAGGUGUGAUACCCGGGUGGGCAUGAGAGUCAGCAGGCCUGACACCUGAGGGGGAAUGCCGCCAGGCAGGGGUGAUAGCCGGGUAAGCAUGGUACACAGGCAGGCAUGUUAGCAAGCGACCAUGACACAUGGGGGGCAUAAUCCUCAGCAGGUAUGAUACUCGGGCAGGCACAUUUGCAGGUGGUGGCUGAACGCAUGGAUGCAGUGCACUUCUGGGCAGUCACGGGCUGUGCAGACACUGCAGGAGGCAGUGGCCAGGAGGGCCAUGCACAGGGCAAAUCUGAUGACCUGGGUGAGUGGGUGCACUUCCUGCCCACUGCCUCUCACUGAUGGACAGGACCAAUCCCCAAACCUAAAGGGACCUUGAAGACUGUCCAGUCCAAGCCCUUCACCCUACAGGAAAGCGAGUCAGCCUCAGAGAGGCGAGGUGUAGCACCCAAGGCCACACUGCUGGGCAGUGGGCACCAGGGACCCUGCCACCAGGCUGUAUCACACAAAGUUUCUUCCAUCUGUCCUGGAGUAGAGGAGGUCAGGGGCACAUGGAAGAAGCCAGUGGGAACCUACAGGGCCAGCACCUGCCCCAACUCCCCCAGCAGCAACUGGGGGGAGGCCCCUGAAGAGAGGGGAUGGUCAACCUCCUGUUGGGGUAUCAUCCUGCCACCGAACGCCCUGGGGCAUGAGCUGAUGGCAGUUGAGCAGACGAGGUGCUGGGGUCACACCGUUUGACAUGCAUCCUGCUCGCAGGCCAAGGAUGGAAAGCCGCCCUUCUCCAAACCUGCUGGGAGGGUCUCGGCACUUGGCUGUGCACCUGCCAUGGAUGGAACUAUGCCCCCUAAGUUCAUGAGUGGAAGCCGUAACCCCAGCGUGACUGUAUCUGGAGACAGGGUCUUUAAUUAAGGCUAAAUGAAGUCAUAAGGGUGGUCCUAACCCAGCAGGAUCGUGGCCUUGUAAAAGAGAGAGAGAUCUGUCUCCACCACUGAGGACACAGUGAGAUGGUGGCCACCUGCAAGCCAGGAAGAGAAUCUUUCCAGCAACUGACCUUUCUGACCCUGACCUUGGACUUCCAGCCUCCAGAACUGUGAAAAAUAAACACCUGUUGUUGAA